CCGCAAUAUAUUCCGAUACUGCUUAUCAGUAAAGUUAACUGCCACUGGCCCUCCACCUCCACCACCACCGCCACCGGAACUAUGCACAUCCUUACUAUUACUCUCCUUGCAAAGGCGAUGAAUGUCGGAAUGAUGCCGACCCUCUCUUCCAGGCCCCACUAAGCCACCAACUCUACCGCAGGCCCUCGUCCAUGGUACCCGUUGAGGGGAAACGGAAUGGGAUCUUUGAUUGUAAUUGUGAUUUAUAGUUGAAUGUGUUGAAUUCAUGAGCUUAGACAUCUCUUGCUUUAACCGGGCAUGGCCUGUUUCUAACUCUUGGAGCUUCUUUAAUAGCUACACCGAUUGUGGUGGAGACCCUGAUGCUGCUGAUGAUCCUUUUGCAUUGUUUUCCAUAAUUUAAUAAAAAAAAGUAAAAUCGUCAACACCCAAAAUAAUUACCCAAGUGAAUCAAAUUUCUCGAACUCAAAACUUUAGCAUGGAUCUAGGGCAAAAUCACGUCUAUUGUUCCUCCCUAUACUCUUUUGGUAAACAACAUUUUGCGUGAAUCCAUGUAUUUAUAUGCAAUCAAUUGUUGCUGAAAAUGGAUAAAUUUGGGAAUAAUGACAGUUCGAGAAACUAGCAUUCUGCGCUCUCUCUCUCGCUCUCAUAUUUCUGUGUACUAUUUCCG
rnacentral:lncRNA from 1 species